AGUAACACGUGGGUAACCUGCCUUAUAGUGGGGGAGUAGCCUUUCGAAAGGAAGAUUAAUACCGCAUAAGAUUGUAGUAUCGCAUGAUAUAGCAAUUAAAGGAGCAAUUCGCUAUAAGAUGGACCCGCGUCGCAUUAGCUAGUUGGUGAGGUAAUGGUUCACCAAGGCGACGAUGCGUAGCCGACCUGAGAGGGUGAUCGGCCACAUUGGGACUGAGACACGGCCCAGACUCCUACGGGAGGCAGCAUG
rnacentral:rRNA from 1 species